GGAAAUUUAGAUUCUACCGUUGGAUCGAGAAAUGGACGUCCGAGAUUCGUGCAUGUCACCAUGAGUUAAAAUUUAACUCGCAGAUUCACUCAUGAGUUAAAAUUUUACUUGGAGUUAAAUUUUAACUCACGGUGAUGUGGACGAAUCUCGGACGUUUAUUUCUCGAUCCAACGGUAGUUUCUAAGUUUCC
rnacentral:pre_miRNA from 1 species